CCCUUAGAUGUUCUGGGCUGCACGCGCGUUACACUGACGCACGCAACAGGUGCCUGCUCCGAGAGGACUGGGUAAUCAUUUGAGUGUGCGUCGUGAUGGGGAUAGAAUAUUGUAAUUAUUACUCUUCAACGAGGAAUUCCUAGUAAGCGCCAGUCAGCAGCUUGCGCUGAUUACGUCCCUGCCCUUUGUACACACCGCCCGUCGCUCCUACCGAUGGGUGAUCCGGUGAAUGAUUCGGACUUCAGCGGCUCCCCUGGGGUGCGCCGGAGAAAGUUUUGUGAACCUUAUCACUUGGAGGAAGGAGAAGUCGUAACA
rnacentral:rRNA from 1 species